UACGUAGGCAGCGAGCGUUGUUCGGAGUUACUGGGCGUAAAGGGUGUGUAGGCGGUUGUUUAAGUUUGGUGUGAAAUCUCCCGGCUCAACUGGGAGGGUGCGCCGAAUACUGAAUGACUUGGAGUGCGGGAGAGGAGAGUGGAAUUCCUGGUGUAGCGGUGGAAUGCGCAGAUAUCAGGAGGAACACCGGUGGCGAAGGCGGGUCUCUGGGCCGUUACUGACGCUGAGGAGCGAAAGCGUGGGGAGCGAACAGG
rnacentral:rRNA from 1 species